rnacentral:rRNA from 1 species
GACGAACGCUGGCGGCGUGCCUAAUACAUGCAAGUAGAACGCACAGUUUAUACCGUAGCUUGCUACACCAUAGACUGUGAGUUGCGAACGGGUGAGUAACGCGUAGGUAACCUGCCUGGUAGCGGGGGAUAACUAUUGGAAACGAUAGCUAAUACCGCAUAAUAUUAAUUAUUGCAUGAUAAUUAAUUGAAAGGUGCAAUUGCACCACUACCAGAUGGACCUGCGUUGUAUUAGCUAGUUGGUGAGGUAACGGCUCACCAAGGCAACGAUACAUAGCCGACCUGAGAGGGUGAUCGGCCACACUGGGACUGAGACACGGCCCAGACUCCUACGGGAGGCAGCAGUAGGGAAUCUUCGGCAAUGGACGGAAGUCUGACCGAGCAACGCCGCGUGAGUGAAGAAGGUUUUCGGAUCGUAAAGCUCUGUUGUAAGAGAAGAACGAGUGUGAGAGUGGAAAGUUCACACUGUGAUUGAUCUACCA